UACGGGGGGGGCAAGCGUUGUUCGGAAUUACUGGGCGUAAAGGGCCAGUAGGCGGCCAACUAAGUCCGACGUGAAAUCCCAAGGCUUAACCUUGGAACUGCGUCGGAUACUGGAUGGCUUGAAUUCGGGAGAGGGAUGCAGAAUUCCAGGUGUAGCGGUGAAAUGCGUAGAUAUCUGGAGGAAUACCGGUGGCGAAGGCGGCAUCCUGGUCCAGCACCGACGUUCAGGCACGAAAGCGUGGGGAGCAAACAGG
rnacentral:rRNA from 1 species